rnacentral:rRNA from 1 species
UGGAGGCAGCAGUGGGGAAUUUUUCUCAAUGGGCGCAAGCUUGAAGGAGCGACGCCGCGUGGGGGAUGAAGGGCUUCGGUCCGUAAACCCCUGUCAUUUGCGAACAAACCUUCUUAUUUAAAAGAUGAGAAGCUGAUAGUAGUGAAAGAGGAAGGGACGGCUAACUCUGUGCCAGCAGCCGCGGUAAUACAGAGGUCCCAAGCGUUGUUCGGAUUCACUGGGCGUAAAGGGUGCGUAGGUGGUGGGAUAAGUUCGGUGUGAAAUCUUCGAGCUCAACUCGGAAAUGGCAUCGAAUACUAUCCGGCUAGAGGGUUGGAUGGGGGACUGGAAUUCUUGGUGUAGCAGUGAAAUGCGUAGAUAUCAAGAGGAACACCAGUGGCGAAGGCGAGUCUCUGGACAACUCCUGACACUGAGGCACGAAAGCUAGGGGAGCAAACAGGAUUAGAUACCCUGGUAU